GAAAAAACAGGGAAGCUCUCGAGUAUUGACAACUAUAGGCCAAUAGCCUUGGCUAGUGUGGUGUCAAAGGUGUUAGAGAGAAUAAUACUUGAUAGAUUACAAGAGUAUAUUGUCACAGCUGAUGAACAAUUUGGUUUUAAAAGCAAACAUGGUACGGACAUGUGUGUCUAUGCCUUAAAAGAGGCAGUACAUAAGUACAGUAAUCAUAAUUCCACCAUGUUCACAUGCUUCCUAGAUGCUUCAAAAGCUUUUGACCGUCUAAACCAUGGUAAACUAUUUGCUAAACUAAGAGAAAGAGGUGUUCCUUCAUACUUGGUACGUGUAUUGCAUUUUUGGUACUCCAAUCAAACCAUGCAAGUCAGAUGGGGAGAUUCUAUAUCAGAGCCCUUUUCAGUGACAAACGGGGUCAAACAGGGAGGGAUUUUAUCCCCAGUACUUUUUAAUCUGUAUAUGGACGGACUCUCUAAAAGACUCACAAUGUGCAGGACUGGAUGCAUGGUGGGAGAAAGGCUACUUAAUCAUUUAAUGUAUGCUGAUGACCUGGUCAUUAUGACCCCCAGUUCAGCUGGCCUGCAGCAGUUGCUCAGAGUGUGUUCUGACUAUGGACAGCUCUUUGAUAUCAAGUUUAAUCCCAAAAAGAGUGUAGUCAUGAUCAUGAAAACUAAGGAAGAUAGGGAUGCAACAUUCCCUUCUUUUCUUUUGGCUGACAAGGUGCUCAAUGUUGUGGAUAAGGUCAGAUAUCUGGGUCACAUCAUUAGGGACGACCUCAGUGACGAUGAUGAUGUUCAGAGACAAUACUGUAAAUUAUAUGCACAAGCUAACAUGUUGUCACGAAAAUUUCAUAUGUGUACUGAUGAUGUUAAGAUUGCCCUUUUUAAAGCUUAUUGUACUCCACUAUAUACUGCCCACUUGUGGUGCAGAUACAGUAAAAGUAAAUAUAACAAAUUGAGAGUGGCGUAUAAUGAUGCUCUAAGAAUUCUGCUGAGGCUACCAAGGUGCACAAGUGCCAGUCAACUGUUUGUAAACAGUGGUGUUCCCACUUUAAAUGCAUUGCUCAGGAAUCUGAUGUACAGUUUUAUGAUGAGAUUGAUGGACUCCAAAAAUGAAAUUAUAAUGACUUUAACCAUGCCGAAGUUAAGCAGCAUCAGAUACACUUCCAGUCUCUGGAAGCAUUGGAGAGAGUGUCUGUAUGUUUUUUAGUUGUGUUUCUUAUUUGUCUGUUGUUGUUUUGUCUGUUGUACUGUCGUGUAUAUGGACCUAUAUGAGUCUGAAAUAAAGAUAAAUAAUAAUAAUAAUAAUAAUAAUAACCUCUGUCUUAUGUACAUUUACUCUACUGU
ensembl:lncRNA